GGGCGUGUGGCUCAGUUGGUAGAGCGUUCGCUUAGCAUGGAUUGCGCCGAGUCAUUUAUGACAAGGUUUCAGCAGAUGAAGUACUUGCCAACUUCUGGUUGCUUGAAUGCGAAAGGUCCUGAGUUCGAUUCUUAGCUCGUCCA